UAUAAUGGAUCUGCUAGAGUUGCUCUGUAGUACGUGAGAAGAGAUUAGCAGUAGAUAUUUCAUCGACCAUCUCAUAUUCUUUCUCACGAGGACCGGCGGGCGGCGCUAAGCCUUAAUCUGUUUCCGCCGCGCAGCAAGAAUUCGUGAGUGACGCUAGUGGUUUCUUCUCCGUGCCACAGGUGUUUGAGUCGUCCUCCUUUCUAUGGAAGAAGAAGCAUCAUGCCUAAGUUAAAGACGAGCGGUGUCGUAGUACCCGGAUGGCAAACUCAUUGGCCGCCAGGAGUCUCAUCAGAGUCCAUGUACUGUUGAGAUGUCAAUGGUAAAUAAUGCGGUUGUCAUGGAUUAUCUCUCUCUGAACAUGGAUUGUAAAGUGGGAGAAUUUGCUUAUUGUGUUGAUGUAAGUUACAGCCCGACUUAGUCCAAGUCUAUGAUUGUUGAUUUGUUGUAGAAGCAAAUCAGCUGUCAUUUUCCUUCAUCACUUUACUUGAUAUAUGUCGCCUCAUUCCUCCUUCUGAUAUAUAAUUAAAGCGUCACGGUCUUGCCUGUUCUUAGAUUAUUAUUAACUUGCA